rnacentral:lncRNA from 1 species
AAUCAACCAAAGUUGAACAUGGUAGAAAAUACGCCUAUGGGCGCAGAAAGGGAAUUGAACUCAGGACCUUGUGCUUGUGAGGCAUUGUUCUGGAUUAUGGGCCAUGGAGAUGGAAGGUACUGUUCCUGAUCUGAAGGAAUUCAUAUCAAGGAGCGAAGAAGGAAACAAAUAAUUAUGAUGCUCUUGACAGAAAAAGGAGGCAUAAGGAGUAAAAUGGCACAGGGCUAGACCACCUGGUUUCUAGUUCAUGUUAUGCUGUUAAUAAGUGAUGGAACUUCUAGCAAAGCACUGAACCACCUGGGUCUCAGGUACUAUAGAUCUUUCACAAAUGGGAAGGGGGCCAAGAGAUGAAGAUGGGGGGCAUAAAAAAAAUGAAGUUGGGGGCCGUGGAUUUAGCUCAGUGGUUUCACCGUCUGCUGCUCAAGCGCAAGGACCUGAGUUCGAUCCCUGGUACCAAAAAAAAAAAAAAAAGAAUGAAGAUGUGUUUUGUUACGUACCACCUCCCCAUGAUGAAUGUAAUCAUUGUGUACUGCAAACAUACUAAUACAAAUUUUAAGAGGACCAAUGUAAACAAUGUAAAUAAA